GACGAACGCUGGCGGCGUGCUUAACACAUGCAAGUCGAACGAAAAUACCAAGCUUGCUUGGUUGAUUAGUGGCGAACGGGUGAGUAACACGUGAGUAACCUGCCCCUUACUUUCCUGGAUAACUGCUCGAAAGGGUAGCUAAUACGGGAUAUUCUGACCAGCCUGCAUGGGUUGGUUUGGAAAGGUUGUUUUUCUGGUAAGGGAUGGGCUCGCGGCCUAUCAGCUUGUUGGUGGGGUGAUGGCCUACCAAGGCUUUGACGGGUAGCCGGCCUGAGAGGGUGGACGGUCACACUGGGACUGAGAUACGGCCCAGACUCCUACGGGAGGCAGCAGUGGGGAAUAUUGCACAAUGAGCGCAAGCCUGAUGCAGCGACGCCGCGUGAGGGAGGAAGGCCUUCGGGUUGUAAACCUCUUUCGUCAGGGAACAAGGCACUGCUUUUUUGGUGGUGUUGAGGGUACCUGGAUAAGAAGCGCCGGCUAACUACGUG
rnacentral:rRNA from 1 species